UUCUGGCAGGAGUGACAGAUUGAGAGCUCUUUCUUGAUUCAGUGGGUGGUGGUGCAUGUCCGUUCUUAGUGGGUGGAGCGAUUUGUCUGGUUAAUUUCCAUAACGAACGAGACUCUAGCCUAUUAACUCAUGGAUGACGAAAGAAUAAAACAAUUAAAACAGGGACAACCCAAUUACAUCUUUCGUGAAAGAUGUGGUUGUGUUGUCCCUGUUUUAAUUGUUUUAAUCUUUCUUCAUCCAUGACUUAAACCAACAAGCUCUUCUACCAAGCAUAGCCUAUUAAAUAGGUGCGUGGGUCUCUGCACCUUGCACCCCUCUUAGAGGGACAAGCGGCUCCUAGCCGCACGAAACAGAGCAAUAACAGGUCUGUGAAGCCCUUAUAU
rnacentral:ncRNA from 1 species